UUACCUCAGUAACGGCGAGUGAAGCGGUAACAGCUCAAAUUUGAAAGCUGCCAACAGGCCGCGUUGUAAUUUGUAGAAGGAUGCUUUGGGUUGUUGGCCUAGUCUAAGUUCCUUGGAAACAGGACGUCAUAGAGGGUGAGAAUCCCGUACGUGACUAGUGCCGGCCCCCGUGUAAAGCUCUUUCGACGAGGUCGAGUUGUUUGGGAAUGCAGCUCAAAAUGGGUGGUAAAUUUCAUCUAAAAGCUAAAUAUUGGCCAGAGACCGAUAGCGCACAAGUAGAGUGAUCGAAAGAUGAAAAGCACUUUGGAAAGAGAGUUAAACAGUACGUGAAAUUGUUGAAAGGGAAGCGCUUGCAAUCAGACUUGCAGGCAGUCGAUCAUCCGAGGUUCUCCCCGGUGCACUCGAUUGUCUUCAGGCCAGCAUCGGUUUCGGUGGUGGGAUAAAGGCUGUGGGAAUGUGGCUCUUCGGAGUGUUAUAGCCCACGGUGCAAUGCCGCCUACCGGGAUCGAGGACCGCGCUUCGGCUAGGAUGCUGGCGUAAUGGUUGUAAGCGACCCGUCUUGAAACACGGACCAAGGAGUCUAACAUCUAUGCGAGUGUUUGGGUGUCAAACCCAUACGCGUAAUGAAAGUGAACGGAGGUGAGAGCCCUUUAGGGCGCAUCAUCGACCGAUCCUGAUGUCUUCGGAUGGAUUUGAGUAAGAGCAUAGCUGUUGGGACCCGAAAGAUGGUGAACUAUGCGUGAAUAGGGUGAAGCCAGAGGAAACUCUGGUGGAGGCUCGCAGCGGUUCUGACGUGCAAAUCGAUCGUCAAAUUUGCGUAUAGGGGCGAAAGACUAAUCGAACCAUUGGAACACUACUAGGUGGUUAAGAGGCAAGCAGAUCUAGUUCCGCUCUGGCGGGCAACACUCUCAAAUUGCCGGGGACGUCCCGGUAAUGCGCUACUACCGCAGCUGGCCUCGAAAGGGCCGGCGCGCACCGGCUCUCUGAGCUGGGGAUGGUAACAAGGUAGGUGCUAGGGAUGAUCCGCAGCCAACUCCUACGGGCCCUCACCGGCCUACGGACGCAGUUCACAGACUAAAUGUGAGUGGGCUCCCCGAGCUUAAGUGAUAGUCGACCCCCGCGAGAGCGGGUGAA
rnacentral:rRNA from 1 species